AUACGGAGGAUCCGAGCGUUAUCCGGAUUUAUUGGGUUUAAAGGGUGCGCAGGCGGGAGAUUAAGUCGGCGGUGAAAUUUUGCAGCUCAAAUGUAAAAGUGGCUUCGAUACUGGUUUCCUUGAGUGUGGAUGAAGUAAGCGGGAUUUGUGGUGUAGCGGUGGAAUGCUUAGAUAUCACGAGGAACUCCGAUUGCGCAGGCAGCUUACUAAACCACUACUGACGCUCAGGCACGAAGGCGUGGGGAUCAAACAGGAUUAGAUACCCUGGUAGUCCACGCAGUAAACGAUGAUUACUGGCUGUUUGCGAUACAAUGUAAGCGGCUGAGCGAAAGCGUUAAGUAAUCCACCUGGGGAGUACGGUCGCAAGAAUGAAACUCAAAGGAAUUGACGGGG
rnacentral:rRNA from 1 species